CUUGUACAGAUUUGUGUAAUAUGAUUCAAAUGCAUUCUGUAUUUCAUCUAAUUUGCAUGUGAUCUUUUUUGUUUUGGGGUCUUUUAUUUUGAAAAUGGUAUUCUGUGCUUGUUGUUUCCUGAGUCUCCAUGCUAGUAAUUUGGUUGCCUUUGAGCCUGCUUCAUAAUAUCGUUGUUUCAGGAACCUAAGCUUUUUCUCUACAAAUCUGGGGGCGGAAUGCUGGGCAGCACUGUGGAGCCGGUUCCUGCUGUAAGGUAGCCCGCGUCUCCUGGACCUGAAGGAGACAGCCAAACAGAAAGAGACAGGGGAUGAGAGACUGAGGAAUGCUCAAGGCUGACCACUGGAAUUGAAUGCACAAGAUGAGUGGACCUGAGCCCUAGGACCAUACGUCAGGACUACCGGGCAUGAUGACUCCUUGCUGUCCCCAGUCCACCUGGCCUUGCUGCUAUUCCAGUUUCAACUGUUCAGCCUGCGGUUAUCGAACCCCUACCUGUCCCAGACCUGCUGUUUUCAACUCUUAAUGAUCGGCUAUGAAAAGCCAACUGACAUUUAUUCCUGAUUAUUAUUUGACCAUGCUUGUCACUUAUGAACAUUUAACAUCUUGGCCAUGUUCUGUUAUAAUCUCCACCCGGCACAGCCAGAAGAGGACUGGCCACCCCUCAUAGCCUGGUUCCUCUCUAGGUUUCUUCCUAGGUUUUGGCAUUUCUAGGGAGUUUUUCCUAGCCACCGUGCUUCUACACCUGCAUUGCUUGCUGUUUGGGGUUUUAGGCUGGGUUUCUGUACAGCACUUCGAGAUAUUAGCUGAUGUACAAAGGGUUAUAUAAAAUAAACUUGAUUUGAUUUAAGUUUCUUCAAGUGCAGUUGCAAAAACUAUCAAUUGUUAUGAUGAAACUGGCUCUCAUGAGGACUGCCACAGGAAAGGAAGACCCAAAAUUACUUCUGCUGCAGAGGAUAAGUUUAUUACAGUUACCAGCCUCAGAAAUUGCAGCCCAUAUAAAUGCUUCUGAGUUCAAGUAACAGACACAUCUACAUCGAUUGUUCAGAGGAGACUGUGUGAAUCGGGCCUUCAUGGUCGAAUUGCUGCAAAGAAACCACUAAAGGACACCAAAAAGAAGAAGAGACUUGUUUGGGCCAAGAAACACAAGCAAUGGACAUUAGACAGGUGGAAAUCUGUUCUUUGGUCUGUUGAGUCCAAAUUUGAGAUUUUUGGUUGCAACCGCCGUGUCUUUGUGACACAGAGUAGGUGAACGGAUGAUCUCCGCAUGAGCAAUUCCCACAGUGAAGCAUGGAGGUGGCGGCGUGAUGUGGGGGUGCUUUUCUGAUUACACUACACUGUCUGUGAUUGAUUUGGGCACACUUAACCAGCAUGGCUACCACAGCAUUCUGCAGCGAUACGCCAUCCUAUCUGGUUUGCAUUUAGUGGUACUAUCGUUUGUUUUUCAACAGGACAAUGACGCAACACACCUCCCAAGAUCAAGAAGGAGACCAAGAAGGACCAAUAAGGAGAGUGAUGGAGCUCUGAUGGAGUGCUGCAUCAGAUGACUUGGCCUUCACAAUCACCCAAGCUCAACCCAACUGAGAUGGUUUGGGAUACGUUGGACUGCAGAGUGAAGGAAAAGCAGCCAACAAGUGAUCAGCAUAUGUGGGUACUCCUUCAAGACUGUUGUAAAAGCAUUCCAGGUGAAGCUGGUUGAGAGAAUGCCAAGAGUGUGCAAAGCUGUCAAAUGGUGGCUACUGUGGAAGGGCCACCAGAGGGCAGGCUGCUCCCACAGACAGUAGCCCAGCCCGGCAUGUGAGUCAAGGUGAUCAGAGGCAAUUAAGCACAGCUGACGGUACUAAUGAGCUAUUCUCUUUCCCCUACAAGAGCGAGGAGGGAACUGGCAGAGUGGGGAGAAGAAAAAAAAGAGUGCUUGCUUCUACAAAGGAGAGGACGUACCUUUCGGAAGGGAGAAGGGGACACACCACCUCUAGGGAAUGGUCACCACGGAUCCGGACAACCACCCGAAGGGGACUCUCCACGGACGGAUCGUGAAGGCAGUGACACACCCGUGAUUUAUGUUAUAGUUUAACGAUACUCACCUUGUGUUCCUUGUUCUUGUGAAGAAGAUUUGUGUUUUCCUUGGGAUAUCAUCCUUGAUUGUGUUGGAGGGUUUGAGAAGGAAAAAUACCUCAAUUGAGAACUUUGUUCAAUUAAGAAAACUUGCUCCUGACUCGUUCAUUCCACCUUUCCGCUUUCGAGCAACCUCCAAGUACUUGGUCCACUCACACUACUUUGAAGAAUCUCAAAUAUAAAAUACAUUUUGAUUCGUUUAACACUUUGGUUACUACCUGAUUCCAUAUAUGUUAUUUCAUAGUUCUGAUGUCUUCUUCAUCAGUAUUCGACAAUGUAGAAAAUAAAAAGUAAAAAUAAAGAAAAACCAUUG